UCUGUAAGUCAAGGGUAAAUAAGGUGUUGGAAUGAGGCACCUGUGACAGGGAGGGGUGCAAAAAAACAAACCAAACCUUCCCGUCACAGGUGCCUCAUUCCAAGACUUUAUUUACCCUUGACUUGCAGAGAGUCCCAGUA